rnacentral:rRNA from 1 species
GACGAACGCUGGCGGCGUGCCUAAUACAUGCAAGUAGAACGCUGAAGGAGGAGCUUGCUUCUCUGGAUGAGUUGCGAACGGGUGAGUAACGCAUAGGUAACCUGCCUGGUAGCGGGGGAUAACUAUUGGAAACGAUAGCUAAUACCGCAUAAUAUUGACUAUUGCAUGAUAGUCAGUUGAAAGGUGCAGCUGCACCACUACCAGAUGGACCUGCGUUGUAUUAGCUAGUUGGUGGGGUAACGGCUCACCAAGGCGACGAUACAUAGCCGACCUGAGAGGGUGAUCGGCCACACUGGGACUGAGACACGGCCCAGACUCCUACGGGAGGCAGCAGUAGGGAAUCUUCGGCAAUGGACGGAAGUCUGACCGAGCAACGCCGCGUGAGUGAAGAAGGUUUUCGGAUCGUAAAGCUCUGUUGUAAGAGAAGAACGAGUGUGAGAGUGGAAAGCUCACACUGUGACGGUAUCUUACCAGAAAGGGACGGCUAACUACGUG